GUUCUCGCGCCAUUUCCCUUGGGCUAAAGCUUCGUUUUUCCGACAUAAAAUCACUGUCGCCCGAAACAUUAAUAAGUGUUAAUUCCUGGACUUAGACGAAGGAUGUUUCUCUUAAAGAAUUAUCUUCCUUGAGGAUUGAGGAACUGAAAAUUAACGUCUCUUGUCUGUAUCUCGUAACGCAGGAAUGACGCAAAUGUUGUGAAUAUGGAAGGGAACACCCCAUUACACUUCGCAGGGCAGGCCGGGAAAACAGAGGUUGCUAAAGUCUUGCUCCGCUCAGGCGCCGCCGAGAGUAUACACAUCGAAAACUCAAACGGUAAAACGCCUGUACAGCUAGCAAAGGAAAGAGGUCACAGCGACACACUGGAGUUGCUGAGUUAUGAUUACGGGUCUUAUACUUUUCCAUUGCCCUUAGAAAACUAUUUCCUAAAAGUGAGUAUAAAUGAAUAAAUAAGGCCGAUCAAAGUAUCGACCAAGCACUGCGAUAAUAUGAACACCCUC